CCAGCUUACAAAUUCCCGCAGCCCCUCUUCCUCCCUCCCGAUUUCUCUGACAGUCCCUGCAGUUCCUUUUCUGAACAGACCUGUCUGUUCACAUUCUGGGGGGCGGUGGAAAGGAAGCAGGGAAGAUUGGAUCAUGGUUCCCCCAAAAAAUCUGGAAGAACUUUCCUUGGGGGAGAGGAGGAGUUAUCAGGAACCAAGUGUGGUGAACAAAAAGGGAAAGGAAAAUUGCCUGAGGUGUAAUACAUUACUUUUUUUUUCUUUUUUAAGACAGGGUCUCACUCUGUUGCUCAGGCUGGAGUGCCAGUGGUGUGAUCUUGGCUCACUUCAACCUCCGCCUCCCAGGUUUAAGUGAUCCUCCUGCCUUAGCCUCCCAAGUAGCUGGGAUUACAGGUGCCUGCCACCACGCCCAGCUAAUUUUUGUAUUUUUAGUAAAGAUGGGUUUUGCCAUGUUGACCAGGUUGGUCUCAAACUUCCGGCCUCAAGUGAUCUGCCCACCUCGGCCUCUCAAAGUGCUGGGAUUACAGACAUAAGUCGCCACGCCUGGCCUUAUUUCAAAUUCUUUUAGACAAGGUCUCACUAUGUUGCCCAGGCUGGACACCAACCCCUGGCCUCAAGCGAUCCUUCUGCCUCGGCCUCCUGAAUAGCUGGGACUCCAGGUGUGCACCACUGCACCCCACUUAUUUUAAAAUUUUUUUAACAAGGGAAAUGUGUUUGUAUCAUCCUGGACUUUAAAAUUAACUUUAAAGUAUUGACCAGACUGGCCAACACAGUGAAACCUCAUCUCUACUAAAAAUACAAAAAAUUAGGUAGCUGGGACUACAGGAAUGCAC
rnacentral:lncRNA from 10 species